rnacentral:rRNA from 1 species
UGUGUUGAUAUCCCGCUCAGGAUGAACGCUGGCGGCGUGCUAAUAAUGCAAGUCGAGCGAACAGAUAAGGAGCUUGCUCCUUUGACGUAGCGGCGGACGGGUGAGUAACACGUGGGUAACCUACCUAUAAGACUGGAAUAACUCCGGGAAACCGGGGCUAAUGCCGGAUAACAUAUAGAACCGCAUGGUUCUAUAGUGAAAGAUGGUUUUGCUAUCACUUAUAGAUGGACCCGCGCCGUAUUAGCUAGUUGGUAAGGUAAUGGCUUACCAAGGCGACGAUACGUAGCCGACCUGAGAGGGUGAUCGGCCACACUGGAACUGAGACACGGUCCAGACUCCUACGGGAGGCAGCAGUAGGGAAUCUUCCGCAAUGGGCGAAAGCCUGACGGAGCAACGCCGCGUGAGUGAUGAAGGGUUUCGGCUCGUAAAACUCUGUUAUUAGGGAAGAACAUAUGUGUAAGUAACUGUGCACAUCUUGACGGUACCUAAUCAGAAAGCCACGGCUAACUACGUGCCAGCAGCCGCGGUAAUACGUAGGUGGCAAGCGUUAUCCGGAAUUAUUGGGCGUAAAGCGCGCGUAGGCGGUUUCUUAAGUCUGAUGUGAAAGCCCACGGCUCAACCGUGGAGGGUCAUUGGAAACUGGGAAACUUGAGUGCAGAAGAGGAAAGUGGAAUUCCAUGUGUAGCGGUGAAAUGCGCAGAGAUAUGGAGGAACACCAGUGGCGAAGGCGACUUUCUGGUCUGUAACUGACGCUGAUGUGCGAAAGCGUGGGGAUCAAACAGGAUUUA